AACAUAUUAUGCGGGUCCCAGACGUGUAAUAAUGUGUUAGUCCGGUCUUGUGGCUGAUUUCUAAGUUCAUGGACCCGAUUAAUAUAAUUGAUAAAAGAUAUCUUAUAUUUUAUAAUUAUUUUGUUAAUAGUUAUGUGAGAUCUAUCAAUUUUUGAAAUGAAAUUACCAGUUUGUUUUGAUUCUGGUUUAACUUGUUUUGAAACAUUUAAUAACCUAAAUGCUAAGAAUAGAUACAUAUGCGAGUUGUAUUCUUUUUCUUUUAGUUAAGCAGGUAUGGUCCACCAACCACAUCUCGGUAUCAGGUUUGACAAUGAACAUGUAUUUUAGCUGGUUUUCGACUAUUCAAAAACAUAUUAAAAGAAGGGGAAAAUAGCAUUUCCAUUAUAAUAAUUUGGAAAAAAAUUCUCGCCAAAUUAGUACGUUCUUAUCCACAGGUAAUUUGAUUACAAAAAAUGUCAAAAUAUAAUAUUGAUGUCCUUGCCAACACUGUCCAACCACGUCAUAGUACUUUCAACUUUGGAAGAAAACAAAAACAAAAAUUAUAAAUAAUGAAAUUCUGAUUCCUGAAUUUAUUAGCACGGAAACUAAUACACUAAUUUGUUUUCUAAUAUUUUUUGAACGGCUACAUUGAUUUGUUUUUUUUUUCAAAAUAAAUUAUUUCACAAAUUUUCUUUUACUUAUGAUUAAGAUAAGGAAUUCAAAAAGAAAGUUUCCAAAAUUACUGGAUUCAAAUAAUAACCCCACUACAAAUCAAAAGAUCAUAAUAAGACAUGAUUGGACUAUCAACAUGUGUCUCUUUUAAAAGAAAGUGGGGGCUUUUUUAGUUUAGGCAUAAUAGCAUUUAUUACAAGAUUUUCACCAGUUAAGAAGCUUGUCGGAAAGUUAUAAAAAAUUUCCGGGAAAUUGCACCGCCGGCGAGUAAUUCGGAAAGUUACACGAGCAGAAAGUUGAAAAGUCCCAAAAAGACUAUUUUUCCACACACACAAAAAAAAAAAACAAUACUACAAUACAAAAAACAGACAGCUUGUUGCUUUAUUACAAGAAGACUUCUUCAGAUGAACAAAACGAUAUUUAUUUUAUUAAAAAAAUAAUAAUAGCUAGAGUUUGGUUUCUUACAAGUAUCUCCUUGAGGCGUAUCUGAAUCCGAAAAGAGAUGGAAUCACCGGAGAACAGUGUUGGUUUCGAUUCCGACGGCUCGUUAGAGACGGCGGAGAGGAUAAUACUCCGAUGGGACUCAACAGCUUCCGAAGAAGCGAGAGGGAAGAUGAUAUUCCAAAGCGAUCGUGACGAAGUAGAUCGGUUCUUGAGAGCCGUAGAUGAAAUCCAACGGUCCGUGUCAUCUCUCUCCUUCUCCUCUCCUCCUUCCUUUUCCUCCGCCGCCACCGAUGACCAAGAAGUCAAAGCCAACUCAGCUCUCCAAAUCGCGAUGGCUAGGCUCGAGGAAGAGUUCCGCAACAUCCUCCUCUCCCAAACAUCAGUCUUCGAGCCUGACUCUCUCUUCCUCGAGGAGGAGUCAUCAGUCUCCUGCGAAGACAGCACUGAUGCUCCCCCCGAAGAAGAACAAGAAGGUUCCGAUUCCAAUUCCGGUUCAAGCCGGUUAACGCGUAGGAGAAGCAGUUACAGAUCUACAAGCAGCAUACGCGAGAUGGAUCUCAUCUCCCCCGAAGCAGUUUCCGACUUGAGAUCGAUCGUUCAGAGAAUGGUCGCCGCCGGCUACUCCCGCGAAUGCAUCCAGGUGUACGGAAACGUCCGCAAAUCCGCAAUGGAUACGAUCCUCAAGCAGCUAGGGAUCGUCAAGAUCAGCAUCGGAGACGUGCAGAAGCUCGAGUGGGAAGUGGUGGAAGGAAAAAUCAGAAAGUGGAUCCGCGCGGCGAAGGUCUGCGUGAGGAUCGUCUUCUCAAGCGAGAAGAGACUCUGUUCCGACCUCUUCGACGAACCGAUGGAUGCCACGUGUUUCAUGGAGACGGUGAAAACGUCCGCUCUACGCCUCUUUACUUUCCCCGAAGCGAUAAGCAUCAGCAGAAGAUCGCCCGAGAAGCUUUUCAAGAUUCUCGAUCUGCACGAUGCUAUGGGUGACAUGAUGCCCGACAUCGAAGCGAUUUUCGACUCGGAUGAUGAUUCGUCAUCAUCGCGAGCCGUCUACCUCCAAGCUGGGGAGAUUCAGACCAGGCUCGCGGAGGCGGCGAGAGGGAUACUCUCGGAGUUCGAAAACGCCGUCCUCCGCGAGCCGUCUGUAGUCCCCGUCCCUGGAGGGACUAUUCAUCCUCUGACGAGGUAUGUAAUGAACUACAUCAGCUUGAUAUCCGAUUACAAGCAGACUCUCAACAACCUCAUCGUGUCGGAUCCGUCAACCGGAUCCGAUCCCAACCCCAACGCGCCGGUGAUUGACUUCACCGAGCUGGACGGUAAGUCACCGUUGGCGUUGCAUCUGAUCUGGCUGAUCAUGGUGCUGCAUUUCAACUUGGAGGAGAAGUCGCACCACUACAGAGACGCGUCCCUAGCUCACAUCUUCAUCAUGAACAACAUUCACUACAUAGUCCAGAAGGUGAAAGGAUCCCCGGAGCUGAGGGAGAUGAUAGGAGACCAUUAUUUGAGGAAACUCACGGGGAUAUUCAGGCACGCGGCGACUAACUACCAGAGAUCGACGUGGGUCAGAGUGCUGAAUAGCUUGAGAGACGAAGGGUUGCACGUGAGUGGGAGUUUCUCGUCUGGUGUUUCGAGGAGCGCGUUGAGAGAGAGGUUUAAAGCGUUUAAUGCAAUGUUGGAAGAUGUUCAUAGGACUCAGUCUACGUGGUCGGUUCCGGAUGCGCAGCUUAGAGAGGAGCUGAGGAUAUCUUUGUCUGAGCAUUUGAUCCCGGCGUAUAGAUCGUUUCUUGGGAGGUUUAGGGGGAAUAUAGAGAGUGGGAGACAUCCUGAGAACUACUUGAAGUAUUCGGUCGAAGAUAUUGACAGGAUCGUUCUUGAUUUCUUUGAAGGGUAUGCACACCCGCCAAACUUGAGGAGACGAUGAUGAAAGAAGAAGAUAUGGAGAGGUUUACUUUCUCUCUUUUGUUUUGUUUUGUUUUGGUUCUUUUGGUUCUCAGCCAUGUUAGGAUGUUGUUGUAGGAUAGAGCCAUUCUUUGAAUUUUUAUUCACGGGUUAGUUCCCUAUUGUGCCCGAUGGAAUAAUCUUCAGCCAACGAGACCAUGUCUGAACAAGGGCCUUUGUUUGCAAAGUGUUAGCCAACGGCCAGAGCUUUUCUUCAGAAGUUCACUAAAGAAAAGACUUUGGGCAUUGUCAACCAAAUUGCAAUAUUAGGAAAAGACUUGUGAAAUUUUU